UCCAAUUUUUUCCACACUCGACAUUUCACAAAUCACUCCCGUCUCCAAAACCCCAUAAUCGAUAAGUCAUUAAACCCUAAAAUCGUUUGGAACAACAUCGCUCGACCGUACAGGAAGAAAGAAAGAAAAUUGAGCUUCUGGAAUCAAGUUAUGGAAUUAUAGUGUUAGCGUGAGGAGAUAAUGGAUUCCGAGCAUAGUAAAGUUAGAACGAAUGCACAAGACGAUCGGCUAAGCAUGUUGCCGGAUGAUCUCAUCCAUAGAAUCCUCUCUCUUAUUCACAUUAAACAUGCUGUUCAAACCACUGCUUUGUCUUCUAGAUGGCGGUUUAUCUGGACUUCUAUGCCCUGUCUCAAUAUCUCAACCGACGAUUUCCGUUCUUUACGUGCCUUCUCUGAGUUUGUUAACAAUGUUUUGUCUCAUCGCAACGAUCAAACUGAAGUUUAUUCAGUCAACCUCAGUUUUCGUGAAGCACUUAGCGAGGCGUUGCUAAAAAGGAUUCUUGACUAUGCGUUCUCUCACAAUAUCCGACAACUGACUGUAACAUGGCUGCGUGAUGACAAGAUUGAUUUUCCUCUUUUUCUCCUUCGUUCUCGGUCCCUUAAAUAUCUUAGUUUGACUGGAUCUUCUAUUAGCUUUUUUGAUCCGUAUUCUAUUAUUCUUGAAUCGACAUGGGACCUCCCGGAUCUAACGACGUUGAAGCUUGAUUACGUCGCGUUUUAUGAUGAUAACGGCGCUGGUAUUUUCUCAAAGUGUGCAAACUUAAAGAAUCUCACCUUAAGUAACUUUACAAUACUGGAAUCAUCUAAGUUUACUAUUUGUCAUCCUCAACUUUCUAAUCUCACACUUGAAAAUGGAUGUGGGACUCUGCAUGCUUUCAAAGUGGUUGCACCUCAACUCAAGAAUCUUACUAUAAGAAGGUGCUACGGCAAGCAUCUAAUUACCGCACCCAACCUUGCGUCCUUGCUCUUUAGUAGUUCGUUCUUCGGUAGUCCUUGUUUUUUGCAGUUCUCUACAGAUUUGUGUUCUUUGGAGAAGGUGGAUCUUUGCAUUUACUCUUCAACCGCGUGGAGUGGUUCUCGCAUUGCUUGUCUGCUUCAACAGCUACACUAUGUCAAAUUUCUUACGUUUAACUUGGAGUUGGUUUAGCCACUUUCUUCAUACAUGGAACAAAUCUCACUUCAACCGUCUCCGUUUUCUAACUUAAAGAAAUUAAAGAUAUAUCCCGUUUACGUACCCCGGGAUGAUGAAGCACAUGAGAAAGUAACUAUGCCUACUAAAGUAUUAAACUAUUUGCUAGAUGGUUCUCCAAGUGCUACACUCACAAUGAUCUCGUAUGAGUCUGGAGUGUUCUUAUGUUCACUAUAUGUCAAACUCCAGGAAGUUAAAGCAAAACAGCAGAAGGCUCAGGCGUUUGCGAAUGCCGUAGAAGCACAAAAGCGUAUGUCAAGUUUACAGGGUUUGUUAGAGAAGGAGAAAGCUAAUAUUGAGACUCGUACGAAUCGGAGGAAGGCACCAACAGAAGCAGAUACGCAUGAUCAAGGGAAAACACAAGUGGAGAAUGUGCAACUGCACUUUGAGAGGAAAAUGGCCCAGAUGAAGAGCUGCUGGGAAGAUGUCGGUGUACAGAUUGAUCAAGGCGGAUCAAGGGCUCGUGACAUCCUCUCCCGGUUGCGUGACAUUGAAGAAUUAUUACUGAAAGACCUCCCUACUUCAAAGAGGGAUAAGUUGCUGGCAUGUUUUUCCGGUCUCUGUGCAGAGGUGGACAAUGUCAUAGAGAAAAUAUUACAUCAUAUGAAAAUCCCACAAAUCCAUUUAAGUGACUGCUUUAAUCAGCUUGCUGCAACAUCACUCUCGUCUUCUUAGCAAGUUGUAAGUUUGUGAAGGAUCUGUAUGCAAUAACAAAGUUGCACUUAUAAUUGCAUGUCUGUUUGGAUUUAAAAUUGCAUAUUUUUCAUUU